GACGAACGCUGGCGGCGUGCUUAACACAUGCAAGUCGAACGGAAAGGCCCUGCUUUUGUGGGGUGCUCGAGUGGCGAACGGGUGAGUAACACGUGAGUAACCUGCCCUUGACUUUGGGAUAACUUCAGGAAACUGGGGCUAAUACCGGAUAGGAGCUCCUGCUGCAUGGUGGGGGUUGGAAAGUUUCGGCGGUUGGGGAUGGACUCGCGGCUUAUCAGCUUGUUGGUGGGGUAGUGGCUUACCAAGGCUUUGACGGGUAGCCGGCCUGAGAGGGUGACCGGCGACAUUGGGACUGAGAUACGGCCCAGACUCCUACGGGAGGCAGCAGUGGGGAAUAUUGCACAAUGGGCGGAAGCCUGAUGCAGAAACGCCGCGUGCGGGAUGACGGCCUUCGGGUUGUAAAACGCUUUCGCCUGUGACGAAGCGGGAGUGACGGUAAUGGGUAAAGAAGCACCGGCUAACUACGUG
rnacentral:rRNA from 1 species